GUGCUGACUUCUGUAGCACAUACAUUAAAAUUGGAACGAUACAGAGAAGAUUAACAUGGCCCCUGUGCAAGGAUGACAUGUUUUAAGUAAAAAAAAAAAGAGAGAGAG
rnacentral:snRNA from 1 species